rfam:Brassica napus, WGS project CCCW01000000 data, contig: 7147
GGAAGUUGAGAAACUGUUUCUUAACUUUUAACUAAAAAAACUAAGAACCGGUUCUUAAAGUCCUUAUUUAAGAACCGAUUCUUAGCUUUUUUAGUUAAAAAUUAAGAAAUAGUUUCUUAACUUCC